CCUACGGGUGGCAGCAGUGAGGAAUAUUGGUCAAUGGGCGGGAGCCUGAACCAGCCAAGUCGCGUGAGGGAAGACGGUCCUAUGGAUUGUAAACCUCUUUAGUCGGGGAGCAAUGCACGGCACGUGUGCCCGUAGGGCGGGUACCCGCAGAAUAAGCAUCGGCUAACUCCGUGCCAGCAGCCGCGGUAAUACGGAGGAUGCGAGCGUUAUCCGGAAUUACUGGGUGUAAAGGGUGUGUAGGCGGGGCUGCAAGUCAGAUGUGAAAAUUAGGGGCUCAACCCAUAACCUGCGUCUGAAACUGUAGCGCUUGAGAGUGGGAGAGGUAAACGGAAUGCCCGGUGUAGCGGUGAAAUGCGUAGAUAUCGGGAGGAACACCAGUGGCGAAGGCGGUUUACUGGACCACAACUGACGCUGAGACACGAAAGCGUGGGGAGCAAACAGGAUUAGAUACCCGGGUAGUC
rnacentral:rRNA from 1 species